CAGCCGCCGCGGGAAUACGAAGGGGGCUAGCGUUGUUCGGAUUUACUGGGCGUAAAGGGUGCGUAGGCGGAUUGUUAAGUCAGGGGUGAAAUCCCGAGGCUCAACCUCGGAACUGCCUUUGAUACUGGCGAUCUUGAGUCCGGGAGAGGUGAGUGGAACUGCGAGUGUAGAGGUGAAAUUCGUAGAUAUUCGCAAGAACACCGGUGGCGAAGGCGGCUCACUGGCCCGGUACUGACGCUGAGGCACGAAAGCGUGGGGAGCAAACAGGAUUAGAGACCCCAGUAGUCCCUGUCUCUUAUAC
rnacentral:rRNA from 1 species